rnacentral:misc_RNA from 1 species
AGAGAGGGGUCUCUACUAUAAAUAAGUAACAAAGGAUAUGAAUUGUCAGCAGUUGACUCUCACUGGGAGAAGUUAGCUGUUCACAUAUACCACAUAUACCAUUCCAAAAUUUGGAACAUUACAUUUAAUCGUCUAUUUUGAGCCGCCAGUCAUAGAAAUUUCAAUACCACUUUAAUAAUGUUGGUCGGGAUUUUGGGUCAGCCCAUGCUUAGGCCGGGUGUCCAUCGCAGAUGGGAGGGUCUACACGAGCGUCGUUAAGUUAUCAUUUCGGUGAUUUCUUCUUGACGCUCGCGUACCUUACUCACAACAAAUGUACCAAAGAUUAUCCAUAAUUGCGACAUGAGACCACAUAUCGUUGCUUAAAGAAGCUCUCUGUAUCCUACUAACGUAUCCCACUUUUAUGUUACGGGAAGGGGGUGCUCCCUUUGAGCAUACGUGCAAGGAACUUAUCGUUCCUUGUAUUGAGGAUUCUGUCCGAUAUGGAGUCUAUAAACGACUUCAACAUCACGUAUAAGAACGCCAAUGGUACUUGAUUCAAGAUAACUACCAUCAUGUUAUAUAGAUUUUUUUUAAUAAAUGGUUUUUAAGAAUGGUAAAUUUUGUUUUAUUUGUAUUGUAAUUUCAAUGUAUAGUCAAAAAUUUAUUUAAUAGUUUUACAAACCUUUAAUGUAGGCAACCAAGAUUAUAUCAGAUCUAAUAAAUAUAGAGGGAUAUAAAUGAAUCAAGGAGUAUUGAACAAUUUGAUCGUUGAAAAGUCAAAAAAAUUAAUAAAAGAUGCCUUUACGUGCAAGAAAAUCUGUUACGGAUGUUUCAAAUCAUAACUGUACACUUCCCCAAGAAGAAGAUAUAUUGGUGCGAUACAUUUCCGGUGGAUAUUUUGUAAUGUUUAGGAGAUGGAUUAAGAGACAAACAAUGAGAGAAAAUAAUUCACUUGGAAGAUCAUUAUUACAUGAUACACCCAUUCAGUUCGAUGAAAUGUUACUGGGAGUUUAUGAUGAUCAUCGCGAUAACGCUCAUGUUGAUAAUCGUCCCAAUCGUGUUGUGUUGGGAACAUGUUACGAGUGGAGUGUUGGUUCUGCGUAUAACAUUAGACAUUUUGUGUUUUAUAGAUAUAUUAAUCGGAUUUCAAAGUGGUUAUUUGGAUGAUAAAACCAAGAAAAUUAUAUUGUCACAGAAAAAGGUAGCCAUGAAAUAUCUAAAAGGUAGAUUCCUCACAGAUUUUUUGCCGUUAAUUAACUCGGAUAUUAUGAGUGUCUUUAUGGAAUCGCAAUCAACCGAUUCCACAUCAAACAUAUCUGGAACAAAUUCGAUUAGAUUUAUGAAUAUCAUAAAAAUCCUUAGAAUUUUCACAUUGACUGUUUACAUGAACCGAUUACGCGAAUUUUAUCAAUACAGCAUCUUUCGAUUUAAGAUGUUUAAAUUGUUAUUAAUCACGUUUUUAUUACUGUUGUGGGCGACGGGCGUUUUGUUUGUUUUAGCAAGAGAAUCUGAAGAGGAAUGGUUGAUUAACCCGGACGACGAAAAUUAUCUAAACACAAACUUGGUGAUAUGUUUCGUGGAAGUUUUCGACUUCUUUUUCCUGAUCGAUCAUUAUCCGACGAAAAGUUUGAUUCUUUUACCGUUCGAAUUGGCGGCUUUAGCGGUCGGAGUUGUUUUGCAAAUGUACUUUAUUUCACAAAUUCUUCAAUUAGUCGAAAAACACAAAACCAGUGAAAAUAAGUAUAACGACAAAAACAUACAAUUACAUAAUUACGUGCGUAAUAAGCAAGUACCACCAUCAAUCGCAUCAAAGUGCCAAGAUUAUUUCGAUUUUAAAUUUCAAAAAAGUUAUUAUCGUGAAUCUGAAAUUCUACAAACCUUAUCGACUACUUUAAGGUCCGAAAUUAAUUCCCACAUUUGUGAACGACUCCUGGAAAACGUCGACAUCCUAAAAGAUAUGCCCUUUUCAGUUAUCACCAUGCUCACGGGGUUAAUGGAAGAAGAAAUUUAUUUACCCAACGAUAUCAUAACAAGGGCAGGGGAUAUUGGAGAUUGUAUGUAUUUUAUUUCAUCAGGAAUGGUUGCUGUUUAUACACCAGGCGGUAAAGAAAUUUGCCACAUUUCAAACGGUGGUAAUUUCGGAGAAGUUUGCAUGAUUAUGAAACAUACGUCGAGAGUUGCCACAGUUAUUGCUGUUGAUUAUUGUGAUCUCUACGUUUUGUCUAGAAAAUGUUUUCUGUCUGCGAUUAAAACCUAUCCGGAUCUUUAUCGGAAAACAAUGGCGAUUUCCAAGAAAAGAAUGUCUCAAGUUGUUCAAACGCAACACGGGAGAUAUCGACCUGAAGAAUUUUAUGAUAUGCGAACCCCAGAAGGUGUUUUUUAUUUUAAGAAAUCUUUAUACGAAUUAUAAAUUUACAAAGAUACAAUGUCGACCAAUUGUCAUAAUAGAUUCCGAUCUUCCAAGCAUUUUGAAUUGCUUUUCCGUCUUUCCUUUUAAUUAUCCUUUACUUUAUACUUUUCAACUUUAGCAUUAGCCCCGGUUUCAUUGAAAAUUCUCAAACCGGUUAUUGUCACAUUACAUUUUUUAUUAUCGAUUGUAAAUCUGUAACUCCACAUUUUUUUGAGCUUUCAUCACCAUCCAUAUCAACGAUUUCUUGGAGAUACCAAUCACCAACAGCCUGUUAAAAAAUGGUUCAUUAUUUAGAACCAUUUAAAUAUGAUAUUGAGAUUACUGAAGUUCUCGGAUAAGGAAACUUGGACUCUUCAAAAGGAAUCGGUAACAAAGAUUCUUGAUUCUUCGGAAUGGUAUACUGGAUUAAUUGGAUCAGGAACUAGUUAAUUUUCAUGUUUAUUAUUAAAGAUUUCAACGUCAGCUUCAAAAAUAUAUUCAAAUAUUUAAUCUAUGGAUUUUCGUCCAUUCUUCAUCAAAACUCCCAUAUGAUGGAUGGUUUUCGUUCUUGACAUGCUAAGAUUAUCGUUUUCAAUAGUUUCAACCGGACAAACAUGAAUUACAAUAAGAAAUUAAUGAAAAAUAGAAUUUGAGGUUAUGUUACUGUCAAAAUUCUACAAAAUUACUUCGUAUUGACUUUACAUGGAUUAAAUACAAUAAAAAAACGUAAACGGUCAACAAUACAUAAUGAAUUCUAAAAUA